rnacentral:rRNA from 1 species
CACUGCUAUCAAGUUCCGACUAAGCCAUGCGAGUCAAGGUAUCGUAAGAUGCCGGCAAACUGCUCAGUAACACGUGGAUAAUCUAACCUUGAGUAAGGGAUAACUUCGGGAAACUGAAGGUAAUACCUUAUAAUUGCUUAAAACUGGAAUGUUUUUGCAAUAAAAGUUACGACGCUCAAGGAUGAGUCUGCGACCUAUCAGGUAGUAGGUGGUGUAAUGGACCACCUAGCCUCAGACGGGUACGGGCCCUGGGAGGGGUAGCCCGGAGAUGGACUCUGAGACAUAAGUCCAGGCCCUACGGGGCGCAGCAGGCGCGAACACUGUGCAAUGCGCGAAAGCGCGACACGGGGAGCUUGAGUGUCUUGGCAUAGCCAAGACUUUUCUCAUUCCUAAAAAGCAUGAGGAAUAAGUGCUGGGUAAGACGGGUGCCAGCCGCCGCGGUAACACCCGCAGCACGAGUAGUGGUCACUUUUAUUGAGCCUAAAGCGUUCGUAGCCGGUUUUGUAAAUCUUCA